UUGACCUUCUGGUCCUCAGUCACUUUCUUCCUGGGGAAGAAAAGAUUCAGAGCCACAGAUGCAUCUGUCAGAUGACAAUGUCCAAGGAAUAUAUUGUAUACCUCCUGCCCAGGACAGGUCACCUGCCCCAUCCCCACCUUAUUAUGUUAACAGGUCCUUUAAAGGGAUGCCUACCAGGUAAGCUUUGAGCUGGACCCCAUAUCCUCUCACCUGAAGGGCGACUCACUAUACACAUCCAGUCCUGGGACAUUCAUGAAGUUCAGAUGGUGGAACCUGACAUCAGUGACUGUAUAACAAAAGAAAACACAGAAAACAGUGCUGUAUGACACCAAACAUCUCUUUUUACAGUCACCGGUGAAAGAAUAAAUAUCCUUUAUAUUCACAUGUCUCCAAGAAGAGUUAAAAAAAUACUUGAAAUGUCAACUAUUUAUAUAACCUUUGGCCUUUCCCCAAUAUUAUGUCCACGGGUCCAUCUCAACACAAUAAGAGUGAGUUUCAUGUUCUGUUUUGGCUUUAGCUGCCUCAAGGCACCCCUUUCUAUGAAUCGAUACCCUCCACAUGCUUGUCUGUUGGGCAUUUGGCUUGUUUCCAGUUUUUGACUGCUAUGAAUAGCAUUGCAAUAAACACCCUCGGGCAAGCUGCUUUUUUUUUUUUUUCUUUAAAUACCCCUUCACAUAUCUUCCUACAACACCGAUGUUUUCCUUUUCUUCUUUUAGCAUAGCCAAGGAAGACAGGAUUCAGUCAAGUUACCCUAAGCAAAAGGGCUCCUGAUGAGGAAUCUGCCUGUAACAUGUGGACCACAGGCUUCUCUUUCCUCCUUGUUAUCUGCCUGUCCUUCAUUUUACUGGCUGUUCCACUUGUGUAGCAUGUGCCCUGUGCCUACCUUUCCGCAGGACUUUGUGGCUCCUUCCACACUGACCAGUUUCCCUAUAGUUUUGAUUUCCGUUACCAUAAUAGGUGCCAUAAUUCAUAUUCCUAAGCAAGGCUACCCUCUUAGUCUAACCCACAUUUCACACAGGGCUGGAGAUCACUGAUGAGGCAGGAGGGCCAUAUCUUGAAGGGAACUCAAUGUAAUUUUAUCUCCAAGUGAAAUUUUACAAAUCAUUUCCCAAAUCUCAGUGAUUAAACCCUGACACCCUCUUAUUUGCUCAGAAUUU
rnacentral:lncRNA from 1 species